AUAAUAUUCAAGGUACUAAUUAUGAUCUGAAUAACAAAAAGACUCAUUUCAGGACGGUGUUUGUAGAAUUAGUUUGGCAUUUCCGUAGCUGUUGAAGUUUUAGCCGAGUGCUUUUAAGUUUGUUUCUACAUAAUUUGAUUGCUGUAUUAUGGAAUCUGUUAAAUGCAUUUAAUGAAAUGAAUUCACUACUACUUGUGCUUAUUUUGGUAGGAUUACGUCAUCUGGUCGGCGGUCAAGGUACGAACCCAUACAUUGUAGGUGGUACAGGU